ACCUUUGGAUCGAGUUUGCAUGC
rnacentral:siRNA from 1 species